rnacentral:rRNA from 5 species
GCAUAUCAAUAAGCGGAGGAAAAGAAACCAACUGGGAUUGCCUUAGUAACGGCGAGUGAAGCGGCAAUAGCUCAAAUUUGAAAGCUGGCCCCUUUGGGGUCCGCGUUGUAAUUUGUAGAGGAUGAUUCGGCGAGGGCUCCCGUCUAAGUCCCCUGGAACGGGGCGUCAUAGAGGGUGAGAAUCCCGUAUGUGAUGGGUUGCCUUAGCCAUGUGAAUCUCCUUCGACGAGUCGAGUUGUUUGGGAAUGCAGCUCUAAAUGGGAGGUAAAUUUCUUCUAAAGCUAAAUACCGGCCAGAGACCGAUAGCGCACAAGUAGAGUGAUCGAAAGAUGAAAAGCACUUUGGAAAGAGAGUUAAAAAGUACGUGAAAUUGUUGAAAGGGAAGCGCUUGCAGCCAGACUUGUCCGCAGUUGCUCAGCCGGUCUCCUGACCGGCGUACUCUUCUGCGGCCAGGCCAGCAUCAGUUCGGGCGGUCGGAUAAAGACCUCGGGAAUGUAGCUCCUCUCGGGGAGUGUUAUAGCCCGGGGUGGAAUGCGGCCAGCCUGGACUGAGGAUCUCGCUUCGGCUAGGAUGCUGGCGUAAUGGCUGUAAGCGGCCCGUCUUGAAACACGGACC